CAAUAGCGUAUAUUAAAGUUGUUGCAGUUAAAAAGCUCGUAGUUGGAUUUCUGGUCGGAAGCUCCUGUCCUCUGAUGAGCGUACAAGUGCGUCCUACCAUCCUUCUGUUAACCUUUAAGGCUUUCGCGGCUUUCUAGGGGCUCAGAUAUUUUACCUUGAGAAAAUUAGAGUGUUUCAGGCAGGCUAGCGCCGGAAUACGUUAGCAUGGAAUAAUGGAAUAGGACUUUUGCCUCUUCUGUUGGUCAUGAGGCUCGAGUAAUGAUUAAUAGGGAUAGUUGGGGGCAUUAGUACUUAACUGUCAGAGGUGAAAUUCUCGGAUUUGUUAAAGACUAACUUAUGCGAAAGCAUUUGCCAAGGAUGUUUNCAUUAA
rnacentral:rRNA from 1 species